rnacentral:rRNA from 1 species
AUGGUCCCAACCACUAGGAGCCAGCUGCCGUCGCACCAUGACCCCAGCGGCAAGAACAGCAAGCCGCCGCCAUCGUACUACUCCGGAUACUACAUCGCCGCCCAGCUGGAGGAGGCUGCCUCGGCGGCCGUCGACGACCUCAAGCAGCAGCAGCCGUCCAGGUUCCCUCGUCGGCUAGCCAUGGCCGACGACGAGAACGCCGAGGAGGAGGCGGCGGCCGGCACGAGCUCCCGGGGCGGCGGAGGGGACUACGAGGACGGCGGCAACAAGGACUGGCUCCGGCUUGGUCUCGGUGCCGUGGCGUCGUGCUCGUCGACCACCACAUCCUCCUCCUCCGCUGGCGGCGAAAACGACGGCGCCAGGGCUGCUCCGAUGGAGCUGGACCUGCUCGCCGGCGGCGACGGCAGAGAAAGCGCGAGGGUGAUGAGCCGGCCGCCGCUGUUCCCGCUGCCCAUCAGGAGCUAUCACCACCAGUACGGCCACGGCCGGUAUCGGCCUACGACGGCGGCGAGCGGGUCCAUGACGCCGGCGCCGCCGUUCUUGCAGUUCGCGCGGCCGCUGAGGAGCUGCUCCGCCGAUCUCUUGAGAGUCGUCAGCCCGCCGACAAGAACGGAGGCCGCCGGCUUGUGGCUAACUCUUCAGGCAGCUCCCAACCAAGGUAGAGAGCCCAUUUUGCCUCAGAUACCAAAGAGCUACCUAAGAAUCAGGGAUACCAGCAUGAAGGUGGAAGUGGUGCUGAAGUACUUGGCGGAGAAGCUAGGACUCUCACAAUCUCAUCAGGUGGAGCUGACAUGCCGAGGGCAUCUCCUUCCCCCCUUCUUGCAGAUGAGAUACGUGAGGGAUUGCAUCUGGCGCGGCUCACCGGCGCCGAGCGAAGAGGAGGAGGCCGGGCUGCCGCCACGUCGGCGCACAUCGCCUGCCACAGCUACCACUGACCAUGUCAUGAUACUCUUUUACAGCACAAGUGUAGGAAUCAACUCCUAG